AUUGAACGCUGGCGGCAUGCCCUACACAUGCAAGUCGAACGGCAGCACGGGAGCAAUCCUGGUGGCGAGUGGCGAACGGGUGAGUAAAGUAUCGGAACGUGCCCAGUCGUGGGGGAUAACGUAGCGAAAGUUACGCUAAUACCGCAUACGAUCUAUGGAUGAAAGCGGGGGAUCGCAAGACCUCGCGCGAUUGGAGCGGCCGAUAGCAGAUUAGGUAGUUGGUGGGGUAAAGGCUCACCAAGCCGACGAUCUGUAGCUGGUCUGAGAGGGCGCCCAGCCCCGCGGGGACUGAGCCACGGCCCAGACUCCGACGGGAGGCAGCAGUGGGGAAUUUUGGACAAUGGGCGCAAGCCUGAUCCAGCCAUGCCGCGUGCAGGAUGAAGGCUUUCGGGUUGUAAACUGCUUUUGUACGGAACGAAAAGGUUUGGCCUAAUACGCUGAACUCAUGACGGUACCGUAAGAAUAAGCACCGGCUAACUACGUGCCAGCCGCCGCGGUAA
rnacentral:rRNA from 1 species